GAGCUAUUCUCUCUCGUGAAGGCGAUUUUCUAGAUCUAGAUCUAGUUUCUCCGGUGAAUCUGGUUUAAUCGAAGGUGAAGGUUUCUCGAAGGUGGUCCAGGAGUGAGUCGUCUUAUCUCUCCGACAACAGUGGCGUGGUGUCUCCUGCUGAUGUGGAUGUGGCUCUGGAAGGGCGGAGGAGGAGUGUUGAUGCAGUUGCCUCUCGGUUAGGGACGCUGGGAGUUGUGUCGGUGCUCCUCAGGCUCAACCGCCGGCCCAUAUGCUGCGUCCACGGCGGAAGUUGGCGAGAGGUAAAGUGGGUUUUGUGUUGUGUUGACAGGUGGCUAGCGGAGGAUCUUUGAUCUUUGAUGGCUGAUGCGGGGGUCGGAUUUAAAGGUACAGGGUGAGCCACCGUCCUUUAGAUCCGCAGGAUCGGGUGUGCCGACUGUCCGGAUCGAGGCUUGACAUCUCAGGGAUUCUGGAUUUUCACGGAGAUGGAAGAGCGAGGAUAUCCCCAAGCGUGACGGGUUGCUAGGUCGGGAUUCGUCGCCGUCGAACCGUCUCGUCGGAGACACUAACUUUCUGGGAGGUUUGUGGCGGGUUGGUUCAUCGGAGGAAAAGGAGGGCUGUCGGAAACCGAAAUCUUCCACCGGCAAUCUUAUUCCUCUGAUGCGGCCACGAAGUUGUGAGCCUUGAUUUCGCCAGAUCUAAGGUUUGGUGUCUCUGCGAACGAUGAUCAACAGGGGCCGAGUCGUUCUGGUUUUUCCGGCGAAUUUCCGACGUUCCUAUUUUGUAACUGG
rnacentral:lncRNA from 1 species